ACGUAGGUGGCAAGCGUUAUCCGGAUUUAUUGGGCGUAAAGCGAGCGCAGGCGGUUUUUUAAGUCUGAUGUGAAAGCCCUCGGCUUAACCGAGGAAGUGCAUCGGAAACUGGGAAACUUGAAUGCUGAAGAGGACAGUGGAACUCCAUGUGUAGCGGUGAAAUGCGUAGAUAUAUGGAAGAACACCAGUGGCGAAGGCGGCUGUCUGGUCAGUUAUUGACGCUGAGGCUCGAAAGCAUGGGUAGCGAACAG
rnacentral:rRNA from 1 species